CAAGAAAAAUCGGAUCAAGAAGAAAAAAAACUAAGAAAAAAUGCAAGCAAAUAACAACAAAAAGAGUGAGAAUGCUAAGUUGUGUUCUUCACUCAGCUCCCAAGGUCCUCUCUCUGGGUGUGGAUGGCUCUCUUCACCAUUGAACAACUGGAACUGGUUUGAAUCAUCUCAUUGUUGAAGAGAGCCAUGUCCAUCAGAAUUGAUCAUUGUCUUGUUUCAGUAUUCUUCAAAGAUAGAAAACUCCUCGGGGAAUUUCCAGUCUGAUGCACAUUAUUUCUUCCAGGGACCCACAGAACUUGGAUGGAUGGGGACAGAGACAGAAGGAAAAACAUUUGCAAACAUCACAGCUCCAGAAACACUUAAAGAGAGUCAUCUGGGUCCAGUGGCCAGAUAUAGAUCAAGAUGACUGGAGAUGGCCCCUGAUGCAGGAGGAGACCUUGGGGGAACAGCAUGAGCCCUCUAUUGAAAGUGGAAUUUGAACUGAGUCUUAAAGGAAGUUCGAUGUUACAAGUUAAGCUGUCCUAUGAAAAAAAUAUAUAUUCCUGAAAAAAGUAAAGACAACUUAAAUCCUAAACUCAAAAUGUGAGUCAAUUUUUUUUACUUACCUAUUAUUUAGAGCUAAU